rnacentral:rRNA from 1 species
GUGCCAGCCGCCGCGGUAAUACGUAGGUGGCGAGCGUUGUCCGGAAUUACUGGGUGUAGAGGGUGCGCAGGCGGGACUGCAAGUUGGAUGUGAAAUACCGGGGCUCAACCCCGGGGCUGCAUCCAAAACUGUGGUUCUUGAGUGAAGUAGAGGUAGGCGGAAUUCCGAGUGUAGCGGUGAAAUGCGUAGAUAUUCGGAGGAACACCAGUGGCGAAGGCGGCCUACUGGGCUUUAACUGACGCUGAGGCACGAAAGCAUGGGGAGCAAACAGGAUUAGAUACCCUGGUAGUCCAUGCCGUAAACGAUGAUUGCUAGGUGUGGGGGGACUGACCCCCUCCGUGCCGGAGUUAACACAAUAAGCAAUCCACCUGGGGAGUACGACCGCAAGGUUGAAACUCAAAGGAAUUGACGG